UGGGGAAUAUUGCACAAUGGGCGCAAGCCUGAUGCAGCCAUGCCGCGUGUGUGAAGAAGGCCUUCGGGUUGUAAAGCACUUUCAGCGAGGAGGAAGGGUAGUGUGUUAAUAGCACAUUGCAUUGACGUUACUCGCAGAAGAAGCACCGGCUAACUCCGUGCCAGCAGCCGCGGUAAUACGGAGGGUGCAAGCGUUAAUCGGAAUUACUGGGCGUAAAGCGCACGCAGGCGGUUUGUUAAGUCAGAUGUGAAAUCCCCGCGCUUAACGUGG
rnacentral:rRNA from 1 species